UCAGGAUGAACGCUGGCGGCGUGCCUAAUACAUGCAAGUCGAGCGAACAGAUAAGGAGCUUGCUCCUUUGAAGUUAGCGGCGGACGGGUGAGUAACACGUGGGUAACCUACCUAUAAGACUGGGAUAACUUCGGGAAACCGGAGCUAAUACCGGAUAACAUUUAGAACCGCAUGGUUCUAAAGUGAAAGAUGGUUUUGCUAUCACUUAUAGAUGGACCCGCGCCGUAUUAGCUAGUUGGUAAGGUAACGGCUUACCAAGGCGACGAUACGUAGCCGACCUGAGAGGGUGAUCGGCCACACUGGAACUGAGACACGGUCCCAGACUCCUACGGGGAGGCAGCAGUAGGGAAUCUUCCGCAAUGGGCGAAAGCCUGACGGAGCAACGCCGCGUGAGUGAUGAAGGGUUUCGGCUCGUAAAACUCUGUUAUUAGGGAAGAACAAAUGUGUAAGUAACUGUGCACAUCUUGACGGUACCUAAUCAGAAAGCCACGGCUAACUACGUGCCAGCAGCCGCGGUAAUACGUAGGUGGCAAGCGUUAUCCGGAAUUAUUGGGCGUAAAGCGCGCGUAGGCGGUUUCUUAAGUCUGAUGUGAAAGCCCACGGCUCAACCGUGGAGGGUCAUUGGAAACUGGGAAACUUGAGUGCAGAAGAGGAAAGUGGAAUUCCAUGUGUAGCGGUGAAAUGCGCAGAGAUAUGGAGGAACACCAGUGGCGAAGGCGACUUUCUGGUCUGUAACUGACGCUGAUGUGCGAAAGCGUGGGGAUCAAACAGGAUUAGAUACCCUGGUAGUCCACGCCGUAAUCGAUGAGUGCUAAGUGUUAGGGGGUUCCGCCCCUUAGUGCUGCAGCUAACGCAUUAAGC
rnacentral:rRNA from 1 species